UAGAGAGUUUGAUGUUAUCAGUGAAGUUGGCUUGUUUCCAGAUCAUGAAGGGGAAGAUGGCCACAUAACUGUUGGCUGGGGAAAGAAAGAAACUCAGUUUCAUGGCUCCUCGGGCAAACAAUCUGCCAAACAAGAACACGUUGUUCUUCAUUCAGCUUCCGAACAUGACAAUGGCAAUCCUCUUAUUAGUUGGAGAGGAGAUGGCCAGUUUUUUGUGAUAUCCAGCAUAGAGCCAAAAACAGGUGCCAGAUUUUUAUACACUUGGUCUAGAGAAUGUGUUUUCCAAGCUCGGUCAGAGCCAGUGGAUGGAGUACAAAAUUGUUUGUCUUGGAAACCAUCUGGUUCUCUUAUCGCUUCUGUCCAGAAGGCACAUUCUAGUCUUGCUACACAAGUGAUUUUCUAUGAGAAAAAUGGACUUCGCCAUGGAGAGUUUAAUAUCCAAACUGUGACCACUGCAGAUGU
rnacentral:sRNA from 1 species